GGAUGAAGAACGUAGCGAAAUGCGAUAAGUAAUGUGAAUCGCAGAAUUCAGUGAAUCAUCGAAUCUUUGAACGCACAUUGCGCCCAUUAGCAUUCUAGUGGGCAUGCCUGUUCGAGCGUCAUUUCAACCCUUAAGCCCUGUUGCUUAGCGUUGGGAGCCUACAGUACUGUAGCUCCCCAAAGUUAGUGGCGGAGUCGGUUUCACACUCUAGACGUAGUAAUUUUUUCUCGUCUGUAGUUGAGCCGGUCCCCUGCCGUAAAACACCCAAUUUAUCAAGGUUGACCUCGGAUCAGGUAGGAAUACCCGCUGAACUUAAGCAUAUCAAUAAGCGGAGGA
rnacentral:misc_RNA from 1 species